AACUGAUACUACCUGCGGGAACCUGCGGAGGGAUCAUUACAGGACUCGCAAGACUCCUACAACCCUGUGAACUUAACUAUAAGCACGUUGCUUCGGCGGGUGUCUCGGCGAGGGUUCUCCCUCCCCGGGGCGCUAAGCCCGCCGGCAGCCUACUAUACUCUGUCUCUUUGCGUUGGCAUCUCGAGUACAAACAAACAAGUUAAAACUUUCAACAAUGGAUCUCUAGAUCGGAAGAGCACA
rnacentral:misc_RNA from 1 species